GCGGAUUCCUAGGCUCUUGCUGGCCGAGAAGGAGCUUAUGCAAGGCCUGCCUGUCCGGAAGCUCCUGAAAAAGAUGUAGCACAGAGCCAAAGACAAAACGAUUUCAACAGAGUAGGAGGAGAAUUCUGGCUGACAUCUAAGCUGUGACAGAGAGAAGAAGAUGCAGGUCUCGGAGCCAGGGGGGCACACCUGAGCCCCAAGGUUCACUGCCACUCAGCAGCCGCCUACCAGCUACAACUCCCCAGAUCACCUCUCAGUAUCUGCAUCCCCACACUUGAGAUGUCGCCCAAGCAUCUGAGAUGCCUCCUUGUUUUUCUGCUUCUCUCGAAAAUGCCACUACAAAUGGGUGACCCACAAAAAACCAAAACCAAAAACAAACAAACAAACAAACAACAAACCCAUAAAACCAAGUUCCUAGUAUAUUGGAGUUCAAUCAAUUUUGUGAAGGGGAAAAAAGGCUCUUUUAUCUCCACAAAGGAGUAGGCAGUCAUAGACAGGCUCCCUCAAAUCCCAGUUAAAGAGAAACCUCUUCAUGACAACAUAACAAAUAAGAGUCGGGUUCUAUUGACUCUGUCCACACUGGCACACUGCCAAAAGGAAGGGGAGGGCAAAGUCUGAGGCCGGGUUUAAUGUCCACGGUAGAGACGGUCAUUUGUGGGUGUUUGUCAAAUCCAACCUCCUAUCUAUGGAAAUUGGAGCAAGACAGAGUAAUAGCACAGCCUGAAAACAGCGUGGGCUCGCUCUCCACAGGCCUAUCUUUAGUUGUCCCUCCCCAACUCCCCCCCACCCCCCGCCGUGUAAAUGGGGCAGGAAGGGGCAUUUCAUAGAUGUGCUACUAGGAACACCUGCUCUCCUCGCAGGGCAAACCCCUCUUGGAUGCUGAGAGCCACGGUCUCCCGGGAACUACCCUGCUCAUCUGUGCAACAGAAGCAAACACCUCUGUAACAAUGCAAACAAACCAGGCUACUGUAGCAGGCCUUUAAACAGUGAUGGGUACACGAUGUAUCAAGCCUUCUUGUUUCUGAAUACCAGUGACAGAGAAAAUACAUCAGCUACCUAGUUAUCGUGUCACAGCAUGCUGGGAAAGGGCUCAACCCCCUGGGAGUUAUCACGGUAUCUUGAUACCGUGGUUUUGUUUUCCCUUACCCUUACAUCAGCUCCUCAAAGUCCCAUCUGUAAUUGGCCCAACUGUCCUAAAAAUCAUUUCAUGACAACAGGCGGAAGGGCUGAUGGGUGAUGCCACCCUCUUCAAAUGUCUUUCUAGCAACAUUAUAACCACAG